GGUUUUGAGAUAUCUAUCUGCGUUCUGUUUCCACCCCAAUACAAUAAAGCUCCUACCUCCUGGAGUCAGCAGGCCUUUGAAGACACAGAUAUUCUCCCCUCCAUUGACUUGCUGGAGGACCUUCAGUUCAUCCUGAGUUGACCCCAACACUGAGCCCCGAUGACCUUGUCCAAGGUCAAGGAAGAAAUGCAG